UGGCAAGUCGAACGGCAGCGCGGGGCAACCUGGCGGCGAGUGGCGAACGGGUGAGUAAUACAUCGGAACGUACCCAGAAGUGGGGGAUAACGUAGCGAAAGUUACGCUAAUACCGCAUACGUUCUACGGAAGAAAGUGGGGGACCUUCGGGCCUCAUGCUUUUGGAGCGGCCGAUGUCUGAUUAGCUAGUUGGUGAGGUAAAGGCUCACCAAGGCGACGAUCAGUAGCUGGUCUGAGAGGACGACCAGCCACACUGGGACUGAGACACGGCCCAGACUCCUACGGGAGGCAGCAGUGGGGAAUUUUGGACAAUGGGCGCAAGCCUGAUCCAGCAAUGCCGCGUGAGUGAAGAAGGCCUUCGGGUUGUAAAGCUCUUUUGUCAGGGAAGAAACGGCUGAGGCUAAUACCUUUGGCUAAUGACGGUACCUGAAGAAUAAGCACCGGCUAACUACGUGCCAGCAGCCGCGGUAAUACGUAGGGUGCAAGCGUUAAUCGGAAUUACUGGGCGUAAAGCGUGCGCAGGCGGUUUUGUAAGUCUGACGUGAAAUCCCCGGGCUCAACCUGGGAAUUGCGUUGGAGACUGCAAGGCUGGAGUCUGGCAGAGGGGGGUAGAAUUCCACGUGUAGCAGUGAAAUGCGUAGAGAUGUGGAGGAACACCGAUGGCGAAGGCAGCCCCCUGGGGUCAAGACUGACGCUCAUGCACGAAAGCGUGGGGAGCAGACAGGAGUAGAUACCCUGGUAGUCCACGCCCUAAACGAUGUCUACUAGUUGUCGGGGUCUUAAUUGACUUGGUAACGCAGCUAACGCGUGAAGUAGACCGCCUGGGGAGUACGGUCGCAAGAUUAAAACUCAAAGGAAUUGACGGGGACCCGCACAAGCGUG
rnacentral:rRNA from 1 species